rnacentral:ncRNA from 1 species
CCAGGACUUGUGCAAGUUAUGCAGAGGUGCUAAGCUUCUGUGUGCAAUGAAGGUGUCUGAAUGGAUAUCUUGCACCAGCAAGCGACGAAUCAUUUGGGAGAAAUUUGAGUAACGGCACGUGCAUUGGAACCCGAAAGAUCGUGAUUCAUGCUUGCGAAGGCCAAAGUCGGCAGUCAGAUGGAGGCUUGUAGCGGUGCUGACGGGCAAAUCGUUCGUUUUUCGUUAGUGUUGUGGUGAAAGAGUGAUCGGGGAGGCUAAUAGCCGA